rnacentral:rRNA from 1 species
GACGAACGCUGGCGGCGUGCUUAACACAUGCAAGUCGAACGAUGAAACCUAGCUUGCUAGGUCGAUUAGUGGCGAACGGGUGAGUAACACGUGACUAACCUGCCCCUUUCUCUGGGAUAACGCUCCGAAAGGAGUGCUAAUACCGGAUACUCACACCGAGGCACAUGCCUUGGUGUGGAAAGGUUUUCGGAAAGGGAUGGAGUCGCGGCCUAUCAGCUUGUUGGUGAGGUAACGGCUCACCAAGGCGACGACGGGUAGCCGGCCUGAGAGGGCGACCGGCCACACUGGGACUGCGACACGGCGCAGACUCCUACGGGAGGCAGCAGUGGGGAAUAUUGCACAAUGGGCGCAAGCCUGAUGCAGCGACGCCGCGUGAGGGAUGAAGGUCUUCGGAUUGUAAACCUCUUUCAGUAGGGACGAAGCGAAAGUGACGGUACCUAAAGAAGAAGCACCGGCUAACUACGUGCCAGCAGCCGCAGUAA